UGAAAACUCUCCCGACAUGUUUUAAAAUCUUGAGAGAAAACAAAAACUUUUGAAAGAUCUUGGAAAAGCUCUACUGUUUUGAAGUCUUUGUGUGUUCAUUUGUAUUGUUUUUUGUAGGGUACAUUUUUUCAUUUCAUAGCAAAAUAAUGCAUGUAGGUUUCAAUGAAUGAUAAAUAACUGACAAAUUUGUGAAAUGACCUUUAGGGCUGUUUAGUACAAAUCUGUAAGAUGGUAAAAAGAACAGAGCAAGGCUUACACUGUUAGCUCA